CGGGGCGUAGCGCAGUUGGCUAGCGCACCUGCUUUGGGAGCAGGGGGUCGGGUGUUCGAGUCACCUCGCCCCGA
rnacentral:tRNA from 1 species